rnacentral:rRNA from 1 species
AGACUUUGAUCCUGGCUCAGGAUGAACGCUAGCGGCAGGCCUAAUACAUGCAAGUCGAGGGGUAACAGGAGAGCUUGCUCUUGCUGACGACCGGCGCACGGGUGCGUAACGCGUAUGCAACCUACCUUUUACAGGGGGAUAGCCCAGAGAAAUUUGGAUUAAUACCCUAUGGUACUUAAGAGUCACCUGGCUUUAAAGUUAAAGAUUUAUCGGUAAAAGAUGGGCAUGCGUGACAUUAGCUAGAUGGUGAGGUAACGGCUCACCAUGGCGACGAUGUCUAGGGGUUCUGAGAGGAUGAUCCCCCACACUGGUACUGAGACACGGACCAGACUCCUACGGGAGGCAGCAGUAGGGAAUAUUGGGCAAUGGACGCGAGUCUGACCCAGCCAUGCCGCGUGCAGGAAGACGGCCUUACGGGUUGUAAACUGCUUUUAUAGGGGAAGAAAACGCUCUUGCGAGAGUAACUGACGGUACCCUGUGAAUAANCACCGGCUAACUCCGUGCCAGCAGCCGCGGUAAUACCGAGGGUGCGAGCGUUGUCCCGAUUUAU